GAUGAACGCUGGCGGCGUGCCUAAUACAUGCAAGUCGAACGCUGGAAAUCUAGCUUGCUAGAUUGAAGGAGUGGCGAACGGGUGAGUAAUACAUAAGCAACCUACCCACGAAGACUGGGAUAAUCUCUGGAAACGGGGACUAAUACCGGAUAGGUAAUCGGAAGGCAUCUUCUGAUUAUUAAAGGUUAAAAACACUGGUGGAUGGGCUUAUGGCGCAUUAGUUAGUUGGUGAGGUAACGGCCCACCAAGACGAUGAUGCGUAGCCGGCCUGAGAGGGUGAACGGCCACAUUGGGACUGAGACACGGCCCAGACUCCUACGGGAGGCAGCAGUAGGGAAUUUUCGGCAAUGGGGGAAACCCUGACCGAGCAACGCCGCGUGAGGGAUGACGGCCUUCGGGUUGUAAAGCUCUGUUGUAAGGGAAGAACGGUAGAUAGAGAAUAUCUAAAUGACGGUACCUGACCAGAAAGCCACGGCUAACUACGUG
rnacentral:rRNA from 1 species